CCUACGGGUGGCAGCAGUGGGGAAUAUUGGACAAUGGGGGGAACCCUGAUCCAGCCAUGCCGCGUGUGUGAAGAAGGCCCUCGGGUUGUAAAGCACUUUCAGUGAGGAAGAACGCCUGGUGGUUAAUACCCAUCAGGAAAGACAUCACUCACAGAAGAAGCACCGGCUAACUCCGUGCCAGCAGCCGCGGUAAUACGGAGGGUGCGAGCGUUAAUCGGAAUUACUGGGCGUAAAGCGCGCGUAGGUGGCUUGAUAAGCCGGUUGUGAAAGCCCCGGGCUCAACCUGGGAACGGCAUCCGGAACUGUCAAGCUAGAGUGCAGGAGAGGAAGGUAGAAUUCCCGGUGUAGCGGUGAAAUGCGUAGAGAUCGGGAGGAAUACCAGUGGCGAAGGCGGCCUUCUGGACUGACACUGACACUGAGGUGCGAAAGCGUGGGUAGCAAACAGGAUUAGAUACCUGAGUAGUC
rnacentral:rRNA from 1 species